UACGGAGGGGGCGAGCGUUGUCCGAAGUUACUGGGCGUAAAGCGCGCGUAGGUGGGCCGGUAAGUCCGCUGUGAAAGCCCGGCGCUCAACGCCGGAGGGUCGGUGGAUACUGCCAGUCUUGAAGGUGCUAGGGGAAGAUGGAAUUACCAGUGUAGCGGUGAAAUGCGUAGAUAUUGGUAGGAACACCAGUGGCGAAGGCGGUCUUCUGGGGCACUCUUGACGCUGAGGCGCGAAAGCUGGGGGAGCGAACGGG
rnacentral:rRNA from 1 species